CUUCCAUUUCUCUGUGUCUUUGCAAGUUGCUUGUCCUCCUACCGAUGGUCCCAAGAUGUCAUGGCACCAGACAUAGGGAAUCUGUGUGAGUGAUGUCGAUGGUCUGUCUGUCCAGCUUGUCCCUAAAUUGAACCCAAGAAGAGAAGGAUCCUAGAAUCAUCAUUUUGCUGGGACAUCAUCUGUGUUCCACGCCUUGUGGAACACAUUUCUCUCUUCUGUCUGACUUGUCCUCUGAGCAACACUAAGCUCAUAGGAAGAUAUUUUUUUUUUACCUAAUCCGAGAAGAAAGGUGUGACUUAUUCCACUUUGAGGUGGAAAUAGCACCCUAUAACCCAACGCUUUCCAAACCACCAUCUACUAUUCUGGCAAAGGAGAUUCCCCAGGAUCCUAUGCUGGUCUUAGUCACUGUACCAGGCUGAGCUGCUCAAGAGAGCUCAGCAGGACCUCUCAGGAGUUUCUGUCUAGCGGUUUGGAGAUCUGGCUUGCCAUUCUGUUCAAAGUAAUGCGACUACACUGUUCGCCUGCUCCCAUCCACUGGAAUAUGCACUUUUGUUUCGGGACCAGUCUUUCUACUCAGAGUCUUCUGAAGUACCACAAACAUGAGUUGUAGCAGGACGCCACUCUUCUUCUAACUCCGUGGGACAGAUGGAAGGACACCAGUGCAUGUCCACAUGUGCAGCUGAUGACCCUAGGAAGAUGGAGCCUCACCCCCACAGUUUGAAGGUUUAGUCUCCUUCACCCAUGGGGUCUCACUCUCUCACAUUUGCCCUUUCUAGACACUUGGUGGAUUUUUCUUAAAACUAGAUGCCAGAGCCAGGGUGAGGGUGUGUGCCGAUAAUCCCGGGACUUUGGAGGCUUAGAUUGGAGAGUAGCCAUAGACUCAAGGCCAUCCUGGGUAAUAUAAGGAACAGUAAUCUAGCUUGGUUGCAGUGUGAGAUCUCUCUCUUUAAAAACUGAGAGUGAACAACAGGACUAGUGUCGGUGUGUCCAUCGUGCACAUAGGUUCUUGUUCCUGGGUUCUUGCCCAGCACAAAAUCAAACCAGGUGGAGCUUGCCUGGUAUUGGGGUUGGAGACAAGAGGAUCAGGCAGUCAAGGUAUGUUCCAACACAAAGAUUGAAGCCAGUGUGGGAGGAAUGACACUAUUUUAAAGAAACAAUCCCUACUCUCAAAUCUUAAUGCCCAUAUCUAAGAAAACAAUGACAUGGCAUCCCAUCACAACCGCAUAUUCCUUGUGAAUCUGAAUACCGUUCAAAUGGAGAAAUGAAAACGGAGCAUCCAGAUGUGCAGUGAAUAUUUUGUGUGACUCACAUCAGGAAUUGGCCUGAGCAUUGAGUUCAUCCCUUGUGCACUGCACUGAGGAGCUGUUCGGUAAGUAUUGAUCAUGUGGGAGGUGUGUGGAGGGAGGUUUGGAGGCUAUGGGGAACCCAGCCUGUGUCAAUAAGUAAGAAUGCAGCCAGCUCUUGAAGCUGUGAGACUCUCUGAUGUUGUGCUACCCCUUUUGGUCCUUCUCUACCAG
rnacentral:lncRNA from 1 species